AUGUGAGGGUGAUAUGGCUGUGACGUCUGUCAUCCCCCUGAUGGCUAGGGUGGAUUUGACAAUCGAAAGGCCAGUGUCCCUUUCCUCCCAUGAGAUAUGUGCGUUCUUCCUGGAGCUGCAUAUUUGGUGGAAGAGGACGUUUCCCAGUAGAGGUGGACCUGUCUCAAGGUCCAUUUGUAGGAGAACAUGGGGUAGGCAAGCUUCUAGGACUCCAGACAUAUCCAAAUGAAGUCUGCCUUU
ensembl:misc_RNA 7SK 7SK RNA